rnacentral:rRNA from 1 species
CAAUGGACUUGGAACCGGUCCAAUCUCUAGAGCACUGGUAACUUGGCCAUUGGCAUGCCUUGAUGCAGCCAUGCCGGGGUAUGAAGAGGCUUCGAUGUAAAGUACUCAGUCGGAGAGGGAUGCUUAAAGUAUUACCUUGCGAUGACGUAACUGGCAGAAGAGCACACUCCGUGCAGCAGCGCGUAUACGAGGGUGCAGCGUGAUCCGAUACUGGCGUAAAGCGCACGCAGGCGGUCUGUCAAGUCGAUGUGAAAUCCCCGGGCUCACCUGGGAGCUGCAUUCGAUACUGGGCAGGCUAGAGUCUGUAGAGGGGGGGGUAGAAUUCACGUGUAGCGGUGAAAUGCGUAGAGAUCUGUGCUAGACUGCGAGGAAUACCCGGUGGCGAAGGCGGCCCCCUGGACAAAGACUGACGCUCAGGUGCGAAAGCGUGGGGAGCAAACAGGAUUAGAUACCCUGGUAGUCCACGCCGUAAACGAUGUCGACUUGGAGGUUGUGCCCUUGAGGCGUGGCUUCCGGAGCUAACGCGUUAAGUCGACCGCCUGGGGAGUACGGCCGCAAGGUUAAAACUCAAAUGAAUUGACGGGGGCCCGCACAAGCGGUGGAGCAUGUGGUUUAAUUUGAUGCAACGCGAAGAACCUUACCUACUCUUGACAUCCAGAGAACUUAGCAGAGAUGCUUUGGUGCCUUCGGGAACUCUGAGACAGGUGCUGCAUGGCUGUCGUCAGCUCGUGUUGUGAAAUGUUGGGUUAAGUCCCGCAACGAGCGCAACCCUUAUCCUUUGUUGCCAGCGGUUAGGCCGGGAACUCAAAGGCAGUGAUAAACUGGAGGAAGGUGGGGAUAUACGACGUCAAGUCAUCAUGGCCCUUACGAGUAGGGCUACACACGUGCUACAAUGGCAUAAAGAGAAGCGACCUCGCGAGAGCAAGCGGACCUCAUAAAGUAUGUUGUAGUCCGGAUUGGAGUUUGCAACUCGACUCCAUGAAGUUGGAAUCGCUAGUAAUCGUAGAUCAGAAUGCUACGGUGAAUACGUUCCCGGGCCUUGUACACACCGCCCGUCACACCAUGGGAGUGGGUUGCAAAAGAAGUAGGUAGGUUAACCUUUGGGAGGGCGCUUACCACUUUGUGAUCAUGACUGGGGUGAAGUCGUAAUCAACGUUAC